CUAGCUCUACAAUCACUAAACGUCGCGUUUUCAAUUAGUGUUCGCAGUGUCUCUCUCUCUCUCUCUCGCAUCUCCACCCUUCCUCCAUUGCCAAUCUUUCGUCUUCCUCCUUCCGGUGGGAGAUGAAGCAGUAACCGAUACCCCCUAAUAAAACCCUCCUUAAUCAAUUACACACGAUUUCCAUUCAGUGCGACCCUGGAGAGUGCAAGGCGGUGGAGGCUCUGCUAUAAAAAGACUGGCCGCUCCUCCUCCUCUGUUCAAGUUCGCCUGCUCCGAUUUUGGGAGGCCAGAAACGUCCGGCGUGGGGGAGAAGCUUAUGGAAGUCGACAUGCUCCUUCUAGAUUCUCAGGCGACUAUGAUGCCGGCGAAGCUCACGAUGCUUCAAUUACACGAAGCUCACAGAGCAGUGGAAACGGUUUGAUGCUUUGAAGCGAAACGAUGCAUCAUCUCGCCCUGGAGAUCAUUGGUGUUGGGAAGAAGAAGCUUUAUGCAGCUAAAGUGUGGAUGAAGCCAAGGUUGAACUUCAAGGAGUCGCAGGAGUUCAAGUCUGCCAAUGACGUUUCCCCUACCAUUACUCCCUUCUAUCUUGGCUGCAAAUAAGGUAUGACCACGAACAUUACAUAUAUGUAUGCAAGACAUAUAUUAAUCUUAAGAAAAAUUUUGAUCUUUGUUAUGAACCAGAUUGUGGAUGGCUCAUAACCAAGAGAUUAUGAUUUGUAAUCUUUUCAUUUAUCUAUG